GAUUAAGCCAUGCAUGUGUAAGUAUAAAUAGUUAACUUUGAAACUGCGAAUGGCUCAUUAUAUCAGUUAUAGUUUAUUUGAUGAAGAAUACUAAUUGGAUAACCGUAGUAAUUCUAGAGCUAAUACAUGUAUAAAGUCUUGUAGACUGCAUUUAUUAGAAUGAAAACCAUAGGUUUCGGCCUAUUCGUGAGUAAUAAUAACUAAUCAUAUCGUAUGCUUAUGUAACGAUGUGUCUUUCAAGUUUCUGCCCUAUCAGCUUUCGAUGGUAGUGUAUUGGACUACCAUG
rnacentral:rRNA from 3 species